rnacentral:rRNA from 1 species
AACGCGAAGAACCUUACCUGGUCUUGACAUCUAUGGAAGUCUGCAGAGAUGCGGAUGUGCCUUCGGGAACCAUAAGACAGGUGCUGCAUGGCUGUCGUCAGCUCGUGUCGUGAGAUGUUGGGUUAAGUCCCGCAACGAGCGCAACCCUUGUCCCUAGUUGCUACGCAAGGGCACUCUAGGGAGACUGCCGGUGACAAACCGGAGGAAGGUGGGGAUGACGUCAAGUCAGCAUGCCCCUUACACCCUGGGCUACACACGUGCUACAUUGGGCGAGACAAUGAGAUGCAAAUCUGCAAAGACUAGCUAAUCUAUAAACUCGUUCUAAGUUCGGAUUGUAGGCUGCAACUCGCCUACAUGAAGUUGAAUCGCUAGUAAUCGCUGGUCAGCUAUACAGUGGUGAAUUCGUUCCCGGGUCUUGUACACACCG